AAGGACUUCAGCCAAUUAUUUUACUAGGGACAGGUACCAGAAAAUAUGAGCUGUCACUGGUAAAUAGGACAGUUGGAAGAAUGUAUUCUCUUGUGCUUGAGAAGGCUUCCCUUGGGAGAACAAUCAAAGUGUGCAUCUUUCACACAUCUGCAUAGAAUUUUUUCAGGUGAAAAGCACAGAGCAUCUUUCACCAGCAUCAGCCUCAGCAUCCACAGCAGGGUGCUGAGAAGAAGGCAGGUAGAUAAGGAAUUGGAAGUGUGUGGUUUUGGAGGAGAUUCUCCUCACUCUUUCUACAGCAAGCAGUGGCAUCUUCCCAAAGCUCUUCUAAAGAUGAGUGUUGCUUGAAAGAAUGGUGGAGUUUUGGCUCCAACACCGUCUAUUAUACAAAUUCACAUCCCUGUCACUAAGUACUGUGACUGGGAAGGAGAUGAACCAACUGCAGCAUGCAUUUAGUGGCUUCAAUCCUGUGGAAACAAAGCAGAGAUGUCAGUCACCUCAUUGCUCUCUUGCUCCCCCAGCCACCCAGCAUUUUCCAUAUAUGGUGCAUCAUCGGAUUUGAAGACAACCAGGUUUUGUAACAUCAUCCAGCAAAGAAAAACAUGUAAACAGAUAUCCAAUCAUCAGAUGGAGCUUGAUACAACUUGAUAUGACAUGGAAAAUAUUGUAUUUGGCAGUGCUAAUAUUAGCUAUUUUGUCUCGAAAACUCUACAAUUCAAAAUCUGAUCUGAUUAUUGUUUUGAUUUUAUGCACAGCCCUAU